CACGCUUCAGGGCAAUUCACCCGUACCCAGGGUGAAGCGCAAAGCCGCGGGUCCGGUGAACGCCGGACGGCCGUGGCCGCCGUG
rfam:Anaeromyxobacter dehalogenans 2CP-C, complete genome.